rnacentral:lncRNA from 1 species
GCUGGCCCUGGCCAAGGCCAGAGGGUGUCCAAGCCGGGGGCUCCUACAGCCUCAGAAGUGGGUCUUGGAGGACUGAGAAGUGGGUGCAGAUGUGUUAGUCGGGGGCCCCCAGUUAAACUGCCAGGCGGUGUGGAAGGUCGACUUUGUGCUGGAGAUGGGGCAGAGGUGCCCAGCUGGGGCCAUCCCAGGGUGUCCCCGAGAGACGUCGCAGUCCCCACCCCAUGGACAUGAGCUCAUUUGGGAAUGGGGCCUCCUUGGGAGACACACAGCAGGAAAGCCCGGGCAGGCUGAAGGCCCCUCCCUUCUACCUGGGACGUGCGCUUCAGGGCCAGGAGAGGACACAGCUGUGUUUAUCCCCGCUGUGUUGUGUGUCGCUCAGCCUUGGGAGAUGCAGGCAGUCAUGUGUUACAUGGUGGCCUCCCAGCUGGAUUGUGCCACCUCAGGCGUGGCGGAAGGUCCUCACAACCCUGGGCUUCCUGUACCCGCUUCCUCAGUGCUAAUACUCCAAGUCUACUUGGGCUGCAGACUCCAAGGUACAGAGCUACUGUGUUUGUUUGGAAGAGUCGAUUGUUUCUUCAAGGGAUUGAAAAGAUUUAUUUUAAAAAGCCUCUGUAUUUAUUUGUAUAUUUACCCCUUAAAGUACACCCAUUGCUCCAUUUAGGUCUGAGUUUCUUGUAUUAUUUUCCUUUUUCCCAAACACAUCCCACUGAUAUGUUUGAAAUGUACAGCUGAUGCAACUAAUCUUCCAGGUUUUGGUUGCCUAUGAAUGUUUCCCUUGUACCUUCAUUUUGUAGGAUAUUUUGCUAAUGAAUACAGUAUUCUAGCACAUGUGUUUAUUGUGUUUGCUUCGGCGAGCAGUUUUCCCCAACCUGCCAGCGCUUGGUGUGGUUAGACUUUCUAACCUUAGGCAUUCUGACGUGUGUGGCGGCGUCCCACUGACGGGAUUUGCACUCAGGAUUGUGGUAUCCAGUGUUUUCAUGUGAUUGGCUACCACCAUAGAUCUUCAGUGCUCUGGUCAAAUAAUACUCUUAUGCAAAUAUUUUUGUUUUUCAUUUGUGGAUCUGCAGAGUUUUUAUGUUUUGCAUAUAAUUCCUGUGUAAUAUAUGCAUCUAUUUUUUCCACCCUCUUUUAAUGGAACUUUUAAUUUUCUUUCUCUAUUUCCUUUUUUCUUUGCUUCUUCCUUUCCUUCCUUCCUCUCCUUCUUCCCUUCGUGGAAAAAUACUGAUUCGGAAAAUCUUAAGAGUCAGUUUGUCAAUUUCCACAGGAAAAUCCAACAGUUUUCAUUGGGAUUAUUUUGACUGAAUACAGAAGUUUGGAGAGAAGUAACAUUUUAACCUGUGAUCUUUUCAUCAUGCAUGGGGCUCAGCCCUCAGUUCACCAAAGUUUUC